rnacentral:rRNA from 1 species
UACAGGGGGUGCAAGCGUUGCUCGGAAUCACUGGGCGUAAAGCGCGCGUAGGCGGCCCUGUAAGUCCGCUGUGAAAGUCAAAGGCUCAACCUUUGAAAGCCGGUGGAUACUGUGGGGCUAGAGUACGGAAGAGGCGAGUGGAAUUCCUGGUGUAGCGGUGGAAUGCGCAGAUAUCAGGAGGAACACCAAUAGCGAAGGCAGCUCGCUGGGACGUUACUGACGCUGAGGCGCGAAAGCGUGGGGAGCGAACAGG